AGCAGAAGCACUUUCCCACAUCGACAUUAUCUGACACAUAUCUCACGAAAUCCUGCAAAGCAGGUACGAUUUCCGUCAUUUUUAUGGACAAGAUUCAGAAUUUAAGUGACUUGCUCACUGGCGCUUGGCUUAGAUAAGGGCUUAGAUCUUAUGAUUCCAAAUCUCAUUGCUUUCUACACUAUGCCUUCUAAAAGCGGCAGGCCCUGUGCAGGGGUCCGGCACAGAGGUGACGAAAGACCAAGGCUCCACUCAUAAGUUACAGUUCAGCCAGAGAAAGCCAUAUGACCACAUUAACAAGUUAUAAAACCGAUCAGAGCUCUGAAGGAAGGAAGAUGGUUCCACCGACUCCUAAAACGGAAGAGCCUUGGGUUCCCUGAGGAAAGUCAGAUCCGAAGGCUGGGGAGGAGUGAACCAUUUUGUGUCUUCUAGGCUCCAACAGUUUAAAGUAAGGCUCACUAUGGCUCAAGGAAUUCAACCCAUUCCAGCAGAGAGUGGCCCAGGUGCCUACAGGUCCUUGGAACAGUCAGCGAGGGACUUCUACACCUCUAGGGUAGGCUACGGUCGGCGGCCCCCGUCCAGCAGGAAGAAGUUUCAGAAGAAGAGACCUUCGGCCCCUUCCCCCUUAAGAAUAAGGGUGUAGGGGCUUCCCUGGUGGCACAGUGGUUGAGAGUCUGCCUGCCGACGCAGAGGACACGGGUUCGUGCCCCGGUCCGGGAAGAUCCCACAUGCGGUGGAGCGGCUGGGCCCGUGAGCCAUGGCCGCUGAGCCUGCACGUCCGGAGCCUGUGCUCCUCAAUGGGAGAGGCCACAACAAUGGAGAGACUGCCACUCAGAGAAGUUAAGUACUUUGUCCAAGGGCACACAGCAGUGUGGUGGAACUAGAACUGACAUCCACAUCUAUCUGACCCCAAAGUAAGUUCUGUUAAUUGUUGGCUUAUACCACUCCAAGUCAUAAUAUUUAGUGCACUGAACUAAAUCAUAGCAGAAGAUGUUCUUAACUUGAAAUCGGGUCUCUGGCACUUGGUCUAGGGCAGGCUCUCUGACUACCUUGUGGUAUGAUUUUGGGUUAGCCACGGUCCCUGCAUGGCCUGGAGAACCACCUCCUGCCUCCCAGCACUGACCAUCUUUACAAGGAGGGGCUGGACAAGAUGACCUCUAGGGUCCCAUCCAGUUCUUGUGUUCUGUGAUUCCAGGAAGAGUUUCCAGACGUUAAGUGCUGUUGGGGCAGAGGACUGACCGGGCAAUUUGUGUUCUCACCAUCCUGUAGACUUUUUGUGUGGAACAAAAGCAGUUCUCUCUUUACCCUCCCUGUUCUGUUAUGCCAGCUCUGGCUAUGUGAUUCCAGAGAAAAAGCAAAAAGUCUACUUUUCUGUGGUUGUGGGUAGUGGGAAUAUUUAAAUUGAGUUUUGUUUUUAUACAUUUCUGCAUUUUCUAAUUAUCUUUUAUAAUGAGUAUGUAGUUAUAAUUGGAAAAAAAAUUUUUUAAGUCCAUUAGCAAUGAGUACACCUAGCUCUCAUCAUGGUUUCUAAUAUCAUUCUGUUACACGAUGAAAGAAACCAGGGCUCCUUGGAGAAAUGACUGAUUCUAGGACUGGGGCAGAACAUGUACAAGAUGAGCCUGGAGCAUCUUGUAGUGCCAGAAAGUAAAGGAGUGCUCACAACACAAAAAGCAGAAAAACCCUGCUGUGACGGAGCUGCGUCAAAGAGCCAUGGGAACCAACUGAAAGAACUCCCAAUGGAUAAGUCUGGAAAUUUUUGAGCAAAAAAUAAAGUUUUAUUGAUUUUUAACCCAAAGUAGAAAAUAAAUGUCCAUGAGUUCAUGCUGAUAUAAAUAAAUGGUUGAAUAAAUAAAUGGGGGAGAAUCUCUCUUGCAGAAGAAUUCUAGAUAAUUUUUGUGGAUUCUGUGCCCUCUAGGAAGGGGGAUAUAACUCCUCACUCCUUAAGUGUGGGCUGUGCAGAGUGACUUCUUCCAAAGAGCACA